CGGCGGGUGCGGGGGCGCAGCAGCCCUGGCCAAGCCCAGAGACCGGAGGACACCCCCCUCCCAGCGCUCUAACAUGGGUAACUUCCCGCUGCCCGGGACGGAGUUUCUCCGUUGCCCACGGACAUCCAGGAGGCCGUGUGGAGGGCAAGCAGGGUAACCCCCACUCCUAAACCACAUCUAUCCAAGGGGAGCCCGAGGAGCCAGCAGGUCCGGACACUCUGAGGAGGCUCCUCGUGGGGCCUCCCACGCACAGGUGCUGAGCUGGGCCAGCGGGUAUCUCCAGGCAGCCUCUGCUAAUGAGCUCUUAGCAGGACAGAGGAGGAGACAGAUUCCAGCUGCCCCCGCAUGCCAGAGCACACAACCGCUCUGUUCCUUACAAGCCUGCCAGGUCCCGGCUCUGCUUCCCUGUCCCCAUCUGCAGUCGCGCAAGCAAGCCCCAGCCCUGGAGGGACUGCACCCAGCAACCUUCCCACAGCUGUCUCCUUUGGAUCUUUUUGCGGUCUGGGCUUGCUGUUCUCUCAAUAGUAGUCAGGAAGCCCUUACCCCAAAAAGUAUCUACGGGAGGCUUGGUCUACAGGGGAGACCCCCAAGGGCUCCAGGUGAGUCACACCAAACCCAAGACUACCAUGUGGAUCCAGGGCAUCUUUGCCAUACCUUAGUAUUGCUGGGUGACCAUGGGUCAAGCCCUAAGCCUUAAGUUGGCAAUCUUCCUAAUGCUGUGACCCUUUAAUACAAUUCCUGAUCUUGUGGUGUCCCCAGCCAUAAUAUUGUUUUGUUGCUACUUUG